rnacentral:rRNA from 1 species
CAGCCGCCGCGGUAAUACGGAGGGUGCAAGCGUUAAUCGGAAUUACUGGGCGUAAAGCGUGCGUAGGCGGUUCGUUAAGUCUGUUGUGAAAGCCCCGGGCUCAACCUGGGAAUGGCAAUGGAUACUGGCGAGCUAGAGUGUGUCAGAGGAUGGUGGAAUUCCCGGUGUAGCGGUGAAAUGCGUAGAGAUCGGGAGGAACAUCAGUGGCGGAGGCGGCCAUCUGGGACAACACUGACGCUGAGGCACGAAAGCGUGGGGAGCAAACAGGAUUAGAUACCCCCGUAGUCCCUGUCUCUUAUAC